UACAGAGGGUGCGAGCGUUAAUCGGAGUUACUGGGCGUAAAGGGUGCGUAGGCGGUAUGAUGUGUGUGAUGUGAAAGCCCCGGGCUUAACCUGGGAAGUGCAUCGCAAACUAUCAAACUAGAGUAUAUGAGAGGGUGGCGGAAUUUCCGGUGUAGCGGUGAAAUGCGUAGAGAUCGGAAGGAACGUCAAUGGCGAAGGCAGCCACCUGGCAUAAUACUGACGCUGAGGCACGAAAGCGUGGGGAGCGAACAGG
rnacentral:rRNA from 1 species